rnacentral:lncRNA from 1 species
UCCAGCACACAUUAAUAAGAUUUAUCUAAAUAUAUCAAUUGAAUAAGUUGUGUUACCAUUGAGUCUAUGGUUAUGAUGUCGAUUGAAAACAGAAAUAAAAUGGAAUUUUCAAUGAUGUUUGGCCUUUGAAAUGUGUCUACUCCAGAAAACCUAAGAAAUUUCUUAAAAUUUUAUCUGAUAGUGUUUAACAAUAGUGACAUCUCCUCCAUCGACAAUUUGACAGCAGGGCCCAUCUCAAGUGAUGUUAUGUGGUCUUGUUGAAUAUGUAUAUAGAUCUAUCUGAAACAUGAAUAGAUCAUUAAUCACCUUUCAAGGUAGAUCCAUAAUUAAAUGUCAUCUAUUCUCCAAAAUCCCAGUAAAGCUAAUGCAGCGCUAACGCAUUUAUAACUGUCCAUUUUCAUGUGAUCUUAUCUGGUCACAUUGAAUAUGUGGGCAGAUCUUUCUGAAACACGCACUGAUCAUAAUCACCUCUCCAGGUAGAUCCAUGAUUAAGUACCACUUAGUCUCAAAUUCCCAGUAAUGCUAUUGACGGGAUUUAUGCAUUUAAAGUACUAGAACAAAGAGAAAAGUUUUAAAAAGAAUUGCUUAUUAUAGAAUAAAAUUGUGGAAAAAUUUUCAGGUUUUGUUCCAUUCCCUGAUAUUGUCAAACAAGAAAAUUGCAUUAGUUAGAUGCCUAAGUUGAUUUUGUCUAACUUCAAAGUGACUUCAAAACAUAGAAAUCUUAGUGUACUGUCACUUAUAUUCCUUUAUAAGAGAAAAUGCAGGAGAGAAUGAAAGAGAAAAUUAAGAUAUUACUCA